rnacentral:rRNA from 1 species
CCUACGGGUGGCUGCAGUGGGGAAUAUUGGACAAUGGGCGAAAGCCUGAUCCAGCCAUGCCGCGUGUGUGAAGAAGGCCUUCGGGUUGUAAAGCACUUUCAGUGGGGAAGAAAGCCUUGGGGCUAAUACCCUCGAGGAAGGACAUCACCCACAGAAGAAGCACCGGCUUACUCCGUGCCAGCAGCCGCGGUAAUACGGAGGGUGCGAGCGUUAAUCGGAAUUACUGGGCGUAAAGCGCGCGUAGGCGGUCUGAUAAGCCGGUUGUGAAAGCCCCGGGCUCAACCUGGGAACGGCAUCCGGAACUGUCAGGCUAGAGUGCAGGAGAGGAAGGUAGAAUUCCCGGUGUAGCGGUGAAAUGCGUAGAGAUCGGGAGGAAUACCAGUGGCGAAGGCGGCCUUCUGGACUGACACUGACGCUGAGGUGCGAAAGCGUGGGUAGCAAACAGGAUUAGAUACCCCUGUAGUC